GAGCAACCUGCCCCUGGCUCUGGGACAACCACUGGAAACGGUGGCUAAUACCGGAUACGACUCACCUCGGCAUCGAGUGUGGGUGGAAAGUUUUUCGGCUGGGGAUGGGCUCGCGGCCUAUCAGCUUGUUGGUGAGGUGAAGGCUCACCAAGGCGACGACGGGUAGCCGGCCUGAGAGGGCGACCGGCCACACUGGGACUGAGACACGGCCCAGACUCCUACGGGAGGCAGCAGUGGGGAAUAUUGCACAAUGGGCGAAAGCCUGAUGCAGCGACGCCGCGUGAGGGAUGACGGCCUUCGGGUUGUAAACCUCUUUCAGCUCCGAAGAAGCGCAAGUGACGGUAGGAGUAGAAGAAGCACCGGCUAACUACGUGCCAGCAGCCGCGGUAAUACGUAGGGUGCAAGCGUUGUCCGGAAUUAUUGGGCGUAAAGAGCUCGUAGGCGGUGUGUCGCGUCUGCUGUGAAAACUCAGGGCUCAACUCUGAGCUUGCAGUGGGUACGGGCACACUUGAGUGCUGUAGGGGAGACUGGAAUUCCUGGU
rnacentral:rRNA from 1 species